GUCCAGAGGGAGGAGUGGGUGUCCCAGCACCUCUGGGGUUGUGGGUGGCCUCUGGUGAGACAGAACAAGAGCUGAGGGAGCCAAUGACCCAGCAAGACCAGCCUGGGUGGCCCAGGUGCCCUCCUGCUGCUGUUCGUAUUUCAGCAUGACACGAAAAGGGGGAAAGAUUGAACACGUUAAUACUGAAGUUUUGGGUUCCAGCAUUCAUCUGCAGAAGGAGGGAGGCUGAAGGGAGCCCAUGACAGCGGAAUAAUUGAGGCCGUUCACUUUCACACAGGAAAAAACAGAACCCACCAAUACUUGCGAAACCAUUGUGAGAAAAUCAAACAAUAUUCAUACAGAUGCAGGUAAGUGUUUUCACAGGUUGCACUCACGUAGGACUGCUCAUUCUCCUCUUCAUCCCUGGCAAGAAGAUCAGCUCAGAGUAAAGAGAUGUCCUUGUUCUGCAACCCUGGGCUUGUUCACGGAACGGUUUUGGCAUGAUGUGAGACUUAAGGAUCAGGUCUCUGCUUUAUUUCGUGCUUGUUACUGGCUCCUGACCCAGGCCCUCCCCUCUGCGCUCUCAUGUGCUUGGAGACACGUUGGGUGCUCAUUUCUUCUAGCAGCUCUUGGGUUUUGACAGUUUUUCCUUCUGUCAUCACCUCUGAAUUACAACUAUCAGCCCACUGUUCAACACAAAUCAAGUGCUCC